UUACCAAAAAAGACUGAUGUGCUAGCAACAAACAUAUUAUGAUGAUAUGCAAAUGCCAGAAGAUGAUUAUAUUGUGUAUUACUGAUAACAUUUAACAGAUGUUUAGAAGGAUAAGGGCCCCGUCACACUAAGUAUGAAUGAGCACGAGCCAAGCCAAAUCAGGCGAAAUGUAAAAAAAAAAACAAAAAAAA